rnacentral:misc_RNA from 1 species
UUUCUCACCUCUCGGCCAUUCCUCUUCCGUGCUCCUUGUGCCCCUCCCUGCUCGCUGCACGGGGCAGCGUUGGCCUCCCCCCUCCCCCUCCACCCUUCCGCUGCACCAUUACCUCGCCCUCUGCCGCCUGCUGCGUUUUCUCCGUUUCUUUUUGUCGCGCGUGCCCGCGGCAUUGCUGCAGCGCCAUGCCUCUAAAGGCGGCCUCGUCGAGGUGGGUCCGCACCACUGUGUGCUGAACCCUCUGCUCGUGCUGUCGAAGGUGCUGGUGGACGCGGCGCAGUUCACCACCUCUGUGUCCCCGCCGCUGAUGAGGAUCCCGCGUCUGUACGACGUGAGCAGCACCACAGAGAGUGCUGCGCUGUUUAAACGGCGCGCUGCACGUCCUCGCGGACUGCUAUCGCGUGAUGUGCGCACAGGGGCUGGCGCACCCGCUGGUGGUCGAGGCGCUCGGCUGCAUCCUCGGUGCGCUGCUCGCGUUUCUGCUUGGCCUUUCCGUCCGCGCCGAUGCAGCGCGACGACAUCAGCGAGAACGCCUUAAUCAAGGAGGGUGAGGACAAGCUGCCCGCGGAGCGCAAGAGCAUGGACAUUCUCUCCUACAAACGCUACAUCAAGUCACGCAUGCCAACACCGCUCGCGCUCCCCUCUCUCCUCAUCCGCGCUGGUGUGGGCAAUCCCUAUCUGCGGCUUGCUUGUGUACGUGUGGUCGUGUGCGUCCGUCUUUUGCGGUUUCUCCCUUGUUGUGGCGUUGCGCGGCGCUCGCCUACCCCCCCCCCCUCCCAUUGCCCUUGCGAUACGCCACCGUGUCCCCAUCAAAGUGUGAAUGCCAUCCGACCCGGGGGCGUGUGCGCCGUUGUGCACUUUUUUGCGCGUGCCUGUGCGCGCCAUCUGCCUUCUUGCUCCUCUUACCCGCCUCUGUGAUCCUCCUUGCUCCUGUUUCGGCGCGCGUGCAGGCGACUGUGCUGCGAGACAGCGACCCCGCUACGAUGCCGUCGCGCGUGCGCCUCACCCCUCCUCGAUGGAGGCGCGCUGCCUGCACUCAUCCGGGCGCACUGCCUCCCCUCCUCUCCUCUUUUCGUGCUGCCGCACACCGUCUUUUAUUUGCCUGGGCGACAGGUCAGGGACAAGUAAGCGAGCGACAAACCCACCCACCCACCCACACACACACACACACACGCUGAGCAGUGCGCGCGCCGGGCAUGCCAUCGUACGCGGAGAUCACUGGCUCCAUCAUGGCGAUGGCGCUUACCACGGACCAGACGCUCUUCAUACUGUACCACUCCAAUAGCUACGCGGCGAACCCGGUGAUGUUGCGCAGCUCGAAGCCGAUGGUGAUGCGUGACGUGUUCCUGACGCGGAGCAGCGCUUUCUACCCGAACCCGCUGUCGUGCCUGUACGUGACCAACGGCACGGACUGCGUCGUCAACUGCGUCAUGGCGUGGGCGGUGGCGAAGCCGCUGACCGAAGUGCUGGGGUGGCGGCACGCGAUGGCCGUGUACGUUGGUGCCGGGUUGUUCUCCAGCUUCGCCUACGUGUUUGCUGCGCAGGUGAGCCGUACGAAGACAAACUCGCCGUUCGACUGCAACGCCACGAGCAACGGUGCCUACGCCGGCUACGCGACGCUGUCGCUGAUGAUGCGAGGGUGCUACAUCCCGUACCUGAAGCGCGUGCCCGUCAUGUGGGCCGGCGUGCCAUACCUGCUCAAGUGCACCUACGACGAGUACGUUUCGCCGAGGCUGGUCGAGCGGCGGCGGGCGGGCGACAUCGAGUUGCGCAACUGGGGGUUUGUCGGCGGUGUCUUCUUCACGCUUAUCUACAGCUCGCUGUUCUUCCGCACUCGCAAGGACUUUAGCCUGGCGAGAAAGUUCUUCCAGAACCUGCCGUCACGCGUCGCGGUGGGGAAGUAGCGGCUCGGCAGCUGCGGGCGUGUGUGAGACCGCCGUCCUGGAGCGAUUCGGACGUGGUGUUUGGUGUUUGCGUUGUCUCCUUUCUCUUGGCUGCCCCCCCCCCCUCCCCCCUCCCACCGCAGUGGUGGUCUUAUGUGUGUGUAUGAGGUGUGUGUGCGUGUGGGUGAGAGAUGGGGCGAAAGCAGAGGGCUGCCUGGUCAUAUGCGCUGGUGUUGCGUGCUUCACAGAAGCAACGCCCGCGGCGCAGCUGGCUGUUGUCGGUGUUUCGCGCGCUGUGGGCACUACGUACUGCCCCGCUCCGAUGGUGUGCAGGCGCGCGCACACAAGCGAGAGCGAAGGCGCCAGCACAGCCGCUUUUCCCCUUCCUUAGUCCUUCACCUCAUUUCCCCCUUCAACCGCCCCUUCGCUGUGCAUGGCCGUCCCCCCCCCCUCUCACUCCCUCCUCACGUGCACUUUACACCACGACGCACCUGCGCACUUGUCGAAG